rnacentral:rRNA from 1 species
GAAGAAUGCUACCUGGUUGAUCCUGCCAGUAG